rnacentral:rRNA from 1 species
AUGGAGAGCAGAUGGAGGAAGGCCAAGAUGUCGCUGGGGCUCAACCUCUGCGUCUACGUGCCCCGGACGCUGGACGACCUGGACGCCGGCCCGCCCUCCACGGGCUCCUCCACGGCCGCGCUCGUCUCGCCGGCGGCCUCCUCCUCCUCCUCCUACGCCACCAGCGCCAACACCACCCCCACCGCCGACCCCGGCAGCGCCAAGGGCCCCGGCGCGCUCAUGCCCACCACCCCGACGCCAACCUCCGCCGGCCUCCGCCUCUCCAAGUCCGGCAGCAAGUCCUUCAAGAAAACAUGUGCGAUAUGCUUGACCAUAAUGAAACCUGGUCAGGGCCAUGCUCUAUUCACGGCAGAGUGCUCACAUACCUUUCACUUCCAUUGUAUAUCUGCAAAUGUUAAGCAUGGAAGCAACAAUUGCCCAGUUUGUCGCACCGAAUGGAAGGAACUUCCAUUUCGUGGCCCGCUGGUUGCUGCAAUCCCUCAAGGAAGUGCAAGGAUUAAUCCUGUCAAUGGGCAGCAAAAUGGCGGCCACAUGACACUAUUGCGACCACUCCCUCGUGCUCGUUCUUCUGGUCGCCUUCAUCAUGUAACUUGCUUGUUGCCUGACACUGACCGAAGUGUUUUCAAUGAUGAUGAACCCUUGGACUUGUGUGAGGCAACCGAGGACCAUCAGCAGGGAUGUUCAAGAACAGUAGAGAUAACGACACACCCUGAGUUCACUGAAAUACCAGAAAGUACUUCAGAAAGAAGCUUCACUGUUCUAAUUCAUCUAAAGGCACCCCUUGCUCAGAGUUUGCACGUACCCGGAGAUGACAGCAGCCCAAACACUGGUCGAGCCCCAGUUGAUCUUAUCACUGUGCUUGAUGUCAGUGGUAGCAUGGCUGGUACCAAACUUGCAUUGCUGAAGAGGGCCAUGGGGUUUGUCAUUCAGAACCUUGGCUCCUCAGACCGGCUUUCUGUCAUCGCCUUCUCAUCAUCUGCACGCAGGCUCUUCCCUCUUCGUCGGAUGACCGAAUCUGGUCGUAAGCAAAGCUUGCUAGCAGUCAAUUCUCUGACGUCAAAUGGUGGCACCAACAUUGCUGAGGGUCUGAGAAAAGGCUCCAAAGUGAUUGAAGAACGACAGGCCAAGAAUCCAGUCUGCAGCAUUAUCCUUUUAUCAGACGGGCAAGACACAUAUACAGUCUCACCAAGUACCGGUGCACACAAACCAUUUACAGUCUCACCAACUGCCAGUGCACAGAAAGCAUCAGCGGAGUAUUGUGCGCUCUUGCCAUCUACUAAUGGUAGUCAGCAGGUACCAGUUCAUGUGUUCGGGUUCGGUGCUGACCAUGAUGCAGUUUCGCUCCAUUCGAUCUCUCAAACCUCUGGUGGGACCUUUUCAUUCAUUGAGACAGAGGCUACAAUCCAAGAUGCAUUUGCUCAAUGUAUUGGUGGACUUUUGAGUGUGGUCGCACAGGAUUUACGUGUAAAGGUGGAGAGUGUGCACCCUGAUGUGCACUUUGGUUCCAUCAGAUCAGGCAGCUACUCUAGCAGAAUUGCAGAUGAUAAGAGGAAUGGGUCCAUUGAUGUUGGUGACCUAUAUGCUGAAGAGGAAAGGGAUUUUCUUAUGACCCUGAACGUUCCCCAAGGUUGUGGCGAUGAAACAGCACUUCUCAAAGUUGGUUGUGUCUACAAAGAUCCGCUGAUGAAGGAGACCAUCAACAUGGCUGAGGUGCAAGUGAAGAUCUCCAGGCCGGCAUUCGUGUCGGUGCAAACCGUGUCGAUCCAGGUGGACCGGCAGAAGAACCGCCUUCACGCAGCAGAGGUGAUGGCCGCGGCAAGGUUCUCGGCGGAGCGUGGUGAGCUGGCACACGCUGUCUCGCUGCUCGAGGACUGCCGGAGAAUGAUCAUGGGGUCAGCUUCAGGGCAGUCCGGCGACCGGCUGUGCCAGUCGCUGGACGCGGAGCUGAAGGAGAUGCAGGAGAGGAUGGCGAGCCGGCAGAGGUACGAGGCGUCUGGGCGGGCCUACGUGCUGUCGGGCCUGAGCUCGCACUCGUGGCAGAGGGCGACCGCCCGCGGCGACUCCACGGACAGCGAGAGCCUGAUCCAGGCCUACCAAACGACGUCGAUGGUCGACAUGGUGCUGCGCUCCCAGACGCUGACCCGCUCGUCGACCCCGAAGCAAACCCCGCAGAUGAGGCACGCCAAGUCGUUCCCGGCGCACCCUCAGCCUAGGUAG